AACGAACGCUGGCGGCAUGCCUAACACAUGCAAGUCGAACGAGACCAUCGGGUCUAGUGGCGCACGGGUGCGUAACGUGUGGGAACCUGCCCUUAGGUUCGGAAUAACUCCCCGAAAGGGGUGCUAAUACCGGAUAAUGUCUUCGGACCAAAGAUUUAUCGCCUUUGGAUGGGCCCGCGUUGGAUUAGCUAGUUGGUAGGGUAAAAGCCUACCAAGGCGACGAUCCAUAGCUGGUCUGAGAGGAUGAUCAGCCACACUGGGACUGAGACACGGCCCAGACUCCUACGGGAGGCAGCAGUGGGGAAUAUUGGACAAUGGGCGAAAGCCUGAUCCAGCAAUGCCGCGUGAGUGAUGAAGGCCUUAGGGUUGUAAAGCUCUUUUACCCGGGAUGAUAAUGACAGUACCGGGAGAAUAAGCUCCGGCUAACUCCGUG
rnacentral:rRNA from 1 species